GCAUAAGCAGCCGCAUCGUAGAAAUCAACGGCGGUAGAGUUCAUUCAGUGACUUCACCAUUAUCAGUUUCAGCCGCUUCGCCGCUAGAUGUCGCCCUCAACUGUAGCGCUGCUGCUGCUCGCCACUUCCGCUCUGGCAGCGCCGCCACCUGAGUGGGUUCGGGAUGGAAUAAAACGCAACUAUCCAGAUGUCCAAGUAGCUGCGGUUGACACCGCGGGUACAUUUGAUGCAUACGAGUACAACGGCGGCGAAACUAGAAAAUAUGAUAAAGUGGCUGAAUGCACGCUUGGUAUACAAGAAAACUGUAAAAACUAUUGCUAUUGGGUCGGUAUGGAUGGAAUGUGCGCUGUUAAAGAUGGAGACAUUUGGUGUGAGUGCAGGAUGUCAUUUAUGUGGAAAUAUUAUGGCAAUGGCCUAUAAUAACUAUGGUCAAUCUGUUUCUACCGACUCAGGGUUAUUCGUUUAAAUAAGUAUUUUUGUAAAACAUUUUGAUUUAAUUUAUCGUCCUAGUACUUUUUUAUUUGGUUUGUAUAAAUAUUAUAAUAAAUUGGUGGUUGGUGUU